CCUACGGGAGGCAGCAGUGGGGAAUAUUGCACAAUGGGGGAAACCCUGAUGCAGCGACGCCGCGUGAGUGAGGAAGUAUUUCGGUAUGUAAAGCUCUAUCAGCAGGGAAGAAAAUGACGGUACCUGACUAAGAAGCCCCGGCUAACUACGUGCCAGCAGCCGCGGUAAUACGUAGGGGGCAAGCGUUAUCCGGAUUUACUGGGUGUAAAGGGAGCGUAGACGGUUAAUGAAGUCAGAAGUGAAAACGCAGGGCUCAACCUUGGGACUGCUUUUGAAACUGAGUAGCUAGAGUGCAGGAGAGGUAAGCGGAAUUCCUAGUGUAGCGGUGAAAUGCGUAGAUAUUAGGAGGAACACCAGUGGCGAAGGCGGCUUACUGGACUGUAACUGACGUUGAGGCUCGAAAGCGUGGGGAGCAAACAGGAUUAGAUACCCCUGUAGUC
rnacentral:rRNA from 1 species